rnacentral:misc_RNA from 1 species
AAUUGACGUCCAUUAUUCUGUAACUAAAGCAACAAAUUGCAGGUACCAUAUAAAGAGAGAUAAUAAUUAGCAAGAGGAGAAUACUUUACGACAACUAGUUAUUCCAUCCAAGAGAGCAAGUAGUUAUAAGAAUCAUUGUCAUGUUUAUUCAAAUUUAAAGAAGCAAGACAGCAAAUGUCUAACAAGUUCUUUUGUAGUUGCUAUGACAUUCAAAGAUCUGCUGUCAACCGUAGCACCUUAUUGGGUCAUUGCAGCCCUUUGCAGCCGACUGCUUACAACCUCUGCCCCCACCCUUCUCUAGAUAUUGCUGGUGAUACUCUUCAGCUCUAUAAAAUCUCUUAGCAGGAAGAAUUUCAGUGACAAUUUUCUUAUCCAUAAAUUCCUUCUGCUUAGCUUCUAACGACUCCCUUGCCAGUUGAGCCUGAGCAUCAUUAUAGUAAUAUAUUCCUGAGCGGUAUUGCUUUCCCACAUCAUUACCCUGGCGAUUUAGAGUGGUCGGGUCAUGGCGACUCCAAAAUAGAGAAAGGAGAUUGGAAUACGGGCAGACAUUCGGGUCAAACUGGAUCCGAAUGGCCUCGGCAUGUUCGGUUGUUCCGGAGCAAAUAAGCUUGUAGUUCGGGUCAUGGACAUUCCCCUGAGAGUACCCAACCUCCGUCUUCACUACUCCUCCAACCCUCUGGAAAGCCAAUUCGACUCCCCAAAAGCAGCCGGCAGCAAAUUGGGCAAACUCCAGACCCGGCUGAUCCGGGCUGUCCAGAUCCGGAUCCAAUGCUGGAUUGGUGGUUGACUUGCUACUGCUGUUGUUACCCUCCAUUGCUCAAUCUCUAAUAAUAUCAAGUUCGUGUAUGUUUCUUUAUAUAGAAAUGGAUUGCAUGGGUGAAG